rnacentral:rRNA from 1 species
UACGGAGGGUGCAAGCGUUAUCCGGAUUCACUGGGUUUAAAGGGUGCGUAGGUGGGCAGGUAAGUCAGUGGUGAAAUCUCCGGGCUUAACCCGGAACUGCCGUUGAUACUAUUUGUCUUGAAUAUUGUGGAGGUAAGCGGAAUAUGUCAUGUAGCGGUGAAAUGCUUAGAUAUGACAUAGAACACCAAUUGCGAAGGCAGCUUACUACCCGAAUAUUGACACUGAGGCACGAAAGCGUGGGGAUCAAACAGG